UUCGUUUCCUCAUGCUUCUCUGACCUGUAUGGGUAUCUUGGCUGAGAGAGAACGCCUCUGCUCUUGAGGUGCUGGUACAGGUUACUGCUCAGAGAAAGCGGGUUGAACAUAAACUCCUCUUCCAGCUGACUGAGACAACCCUGACAGAGGAACAAACAGAAAACAACCGUCUCUAACCUGCAGAACCUGCAGAGCAUCAGGUGUUGGUUCCCGAGUUGGUAGAGGCAGUGAGCAGGGCAGCAGCAGAUCUCUGCAGACCACAGGCUUCAGAAGGAGGGAGAGAGACGAGGAUGGCUGGAGGACAUAGCAUGAAGUCCCGGAUGCUCUCUGUCUUCACCUCCAAGUUGGAGCUCAUGGGGAUGAGUGCUGGGCUUAUGAGGCGCUCCUGCAUGUCACACUUGAUACACACUACACAGUGACAAACAUAA